rnacentral:rRNA from 1 species
UAGGGAAUCUUCCGCAAUGGACGCAAGUCUGACGGAGCAACGCCGCGUGAGUGAAGAAGGAUUUCGGUUCGUAAAACUCUGUUGUUAGAGAAGAACAGCGCAUAGAGUAACUGUUAUGCGUGUGACGGUAUCUAACCAGAAAGCCACGGCUAACUACGUGCCAGCAGCCGCGGUAAUACGUAGGUGGCAAGCGUUGUCCGGAUGUAUUGGGCGUAAAGCGAGCGCAGGCGGUCAAUUAAGUCUGAUGUGAAAGCCCCCGGCUCAACCGGGGAGGGUCAUUGGAAACUGGUUGACUUGAGUGCAGAAGAGGAGAGUGGAAUUCCAUGUGUAGCGGUGAAAUGCGUAGAUAUAUGGAGGAACACCAGUGGCGAAGGCGACUCUCUGGUCUGUAACUGACGCUGAGGCUCGAAAGCAUGGGUAGCAAACAGG